GUAAGAUCGUAAUGAACCUCGUGAUGCAUCCUUGCCCAGCGUAUAAGAUAGGGCCCAGUGAGUUGAGCCAGCUCAAAAACAUUACCAAAUGUGCUGCACCUAAAAUAUUUAUAAGGUAGAUCAUUUGAAUUCUCUACAGUUUGUUGAUUUUUUAUUUCCAUCAGUUUUUUUUUUUUAUUCGUCCUAUUCUCUGACUCCUGGCCGUGGCUGUAUGUGGUGAUAAUUGGAUGUGAACUUGCAAUCUCUUGACAGGGCUACAAAAAGCACUUUGUGCCCAUGCUCCAUCACAAUCGUUCUUCCACUCCGAGUGCAUCACAGCAAGUGGACUGUUCUCCAGGUGUUGUCAUGCCUUUCCUCCUGAGCUUAGUGCAGGUUAUCCUGCUGUCAGUGCUUUUCAUCCAGUACACGGCCGCGUUUCCAGCUGUGGGCAGGGAUGUGGAGGAUGAUGACAGCCUUAUAAGCAUGGACAGUCACUCCCACAGAAGAUGUUUGUUUCCAAGAGACAGCCUAGAUGAAGAGGGCCUUGCUGUAGAAGACAGAGGGAACAGGAGGUCUGAGCUGCAGAUCAGACAGCUGGGUGACCUGGAGUUCACCAACCGGUACGCUGAGCUGCUAAAAUCUAAAGCCAAGCUCUCCCACCUCUGUUCAUUCCUCCGCCGCAUGCAGAACAGCAAAAAGAGUGGCCUCACUGCAGACACAGAGCGAGUGAACACACUGAUGAAGCAAUAUAUGUGUGCCAACGUGUACCAGUGACACACCCAACCCAUCUGUAUCCAGCAAUACAAUGCAUCAUGUGAAGACUGAACACAAUAAAACAAUUAUUCUGGAAGACCGAUGAAGAUUU
rnacentral:lncRNA from 1 species